CGUUCCCGGGCCUUGUACACACCGCCCGUCAAGUCACGAAAGUUGGUAACACCCGAAGCCGGUGGCCUAACCCCUUUGUGGGAGGGAGCUGUCGAAGGUGGGACUGGCGAUUGGGACU
rnacentral:rRNA from 1 species